rnacentral:rRNA from 1 species
AACGAACGCUGGCGGCAUGCCUAACACAUGCAAGUCGAACGAGAUCCUUCGGGGUCUAGUGGCGCACGGGUGCGUAACGCGUGGGAAUCUGCCCUUAGGUUCGGAAUAACAGUUAGAAAUGACUGCUAAUACCGGAUGAUGACGUUAAGUCCAAAGAUUUAUCGCCUGAGGAUGAGCCCGCGUAGGAUUAGCUAGUUGGUGCGGUAAAGGCGCACCAAGGCGACGAUCCUUAGCUGGUCUGAGAGGAUGAUCAGCCACACUGGGACUGAGACACGGCCCAGACUCCUACGGGAGGCAGCAGUGGGGAAUAUUGGACAAUGGGCGCAAGCCUGAUCCAGCAAUGCCGCGUGAGUGAUGAAGGCCUUAGGGUUGUAAAGCUCUUUUACCCGGGAUGAUAAUGACAGUACCGGGAGAAUAAGCCCCGGCUAACUCCGUG